UUCAGACGACUCCAGACUUCAACCAGGGAGUUACUGUGCUGUGUGUGCACCAAACUCUUCCUAAUCAUUUUAGAAUAACAAGCACUCAUUCUGUUUAGUGGAGAGGAUGUCUGUAAAGUGACUUGUUUUUUUUUUUUUUAUGGUCACACUGCUCUGAACUGCCUUUAGCCUUAUAUUCUGUAGCCCAUGUGCUUCAAAACCACAUUUCUGAGCUGCAGAACCUUAGUUAGCUGAGUAAGAACUUAGAUGUUAGUACUGAGUUCAGCUCUAUUUGUCUAAGUAAAUGGGACAGGAGGAAGCUGUAACUGAGCAUAGAAUACUUCAGGGACCAGGCACACUGAGAAGCUCUUAGAAGGAGGUAGUUCCUCAGACUGGACAAAGGGCCUUGGUGACCCUGUCAGGAUGUAUGUGCGUGAGUUUGCUGGAGAAAAUGGUCCACAGCCCUGACCAAACACUGUGAGCCAUGGGUUUCAGAGGUGGUGGUAGCAGCCAGCAUGGGAACAGGGAUUAUGCCCAUUUUUAAUUUUGUUGAUUUUACAGAGCUAGAAAAAAAAUUUAGUUUGCUAAUUCCCACAGGAAAACACCCUCAGUGAGCACUGUCAUCACAGUGGUGACCUAACACUGAAGAAACCACAGACAAGGGCAUGAGGGGACCCCACAAAAGGCUCACAGUAGCAAAUGUCGGGGUACUAGAGGACCUGAUACUUUUUGGAAGCAACCAUUUUUAUUUCCAGUUAUAAUCCCUAAAAAUUUAUAACUGAUAAAUACAGUAACACAGGGAACAAAGAUACUUAAGUUAAAUCUAAGUUAAAGUGUUUUCAAAGUUUAAAAAUGGGCAAAAUGAACAUCAACAGAGGCAGAAACUUGUGGAAUAUUGUAAGAAAACCACUUUGUUCAGGUGGUAUUUGAAUUGGGUACUGCAUCUCAAGACAUGCACCUACCAAGCUUGCUCAAAAUGAUUUUUUUUUUUUGGUAGGGUCAACAGUUUUUCAACAGCCACAACAAUAACCACUCAAAGGCAGAAUAUAAAUAUUUAAAUAUGCGUGGGAGCUGAAUGGAUGGCUCAGUACUUGAGAGAACGCACUGCUCUUGCUGAGGACGUGGGUUCAGUUCCCAGGACCUCUAGCAGGGGGUUUACAACCUUCUGGAACUCUAGCUCCAGGGGAUCUGGCGCCCCCUUCUGGAAUCCAUGAGCACCUGUACUCAAAAUGUUCCUGUACCCACCCCACCCACACACACAUACACAUAAUUAACAGUAAAAUAUAUUUAAAUAUACUUAGGAAGCUGAAUGAUGGGGCCAUGGAAUAUCUCCUUCCAUUUUUGUAAUGCUUUAAGAGUCUAUAAUUAUUCCAAAAUAAAAGGAUUUUCAAAAAGC
rnacentral:lncRNA from 1 species